rnacentral:rRNA from 1 species
GAUGAACGCUGGCUACAGGCUUAACACAUGCAAGUCGAGGGGAAACGACGGGGAAGCUUGCUUCCCCGGGCGUCGACCGGCGCACGGGUGAGUAACGCGUAUCCAACCUGCCUCUGACUGAGGGAUAACCCGUCGAAAGUCGGCCUAAUACCUCAUGGCAUCGUCUGCGGGCAUCCAACGACGAUUAAAGAUUUCAUCGGUCAGGGAUGGGGAUGCGUCUGAUUAGCUUGUUGGCGGGGUAACGGCCCACCAAGGCUACGAUCAGUAGGGGUUCUGAGAGGAAGGUCCCCCACAAUGGAGCUGAGACACGGUCCAAACUCGUACGGGAGGCAGGAGUGAGGAAUAUUGGGCGAUGGGCGGGAGCCUGAACCAGCCGAGUAGCGUGCAGGAUGACGGGCGUAUGGGUUGUAAACUGCUUUUAUGCGGGGAGAAAGUGAGGAACGUGUCCUUCAUUGCAGGUACCGCAUGAAUAAGGACCGGCUAAUUCCGUG